rnacentral:rRNA from 1 species
AUUGAACGCUGGCGGCAGGCCUAACACAUGCAAGUCGAGCGAGCGGCGGACGGGUGAGUAAUGUAUGGGAAUCUGCCCGAUGGAGGGGGAUAACUACUGGAAACGGUAGCUAAUACCGCAUACUAUCGGAUGAACCCAUAUGGGAUUAGCUGGUAGGUGGGGUAAGGGCUCACCUAGGAGACGAUCCCUAGCUGGUCUGAGAGGAUGAUCAGCCACACUGGCACUGAGACACGGCCCAGACUCCUACGGGAGGCAGCAGUGGGGAAUAUUGCACAAUGGGCGCAAGCCUGAUGCAGCCAUGCCGCGUGUAUGAAGAAGGCCCUCGGGUUGUAAAGUACUUUCAGUGGGGAGGCGUUACCGACAGAAGAAGCACCGGCUAACUCCGUGCCAGCAGCCGCGGUAAUAC